rnacentral:sRNA from 1 species
GGAGGUGCUCGUCAGCCACCUGGCAUCUUACAACACAUGGGCUUUACAAGGUCCUGUGAGUGGAGAGGCACGGAGUGUUCUGGGCUAGCUAAGUGUGGAGGCUGGGUGGCUCUGAUGCUAGCCAAUCACUCUACGCUCUAGGCUCACACCUUUCCACCUUUGACUUCGCAAGCAGAAGUCUUGAGUUCAGUCUCAUUGCCCUGGCUUGGGUCACAUGUCCAUCCAUGAACCAAUCACUAGACUGGGUGCGGAAAGCUCUGAUUUGUCAAGUUCGGGUCAUGUGUCUCACUGGGUAAGAGCAGAGGAGGAUCACCCCCAGGGGAGACCAGAGUGCUCUUUCAGAAGAGUGGGACAAUCGCUGGAUGGCUCUUUGCACCACUCACUCCUGUUCUCUGCUAGGGCUGCUGGGACUCACAAGGGGUAGGUUGUGGCAGCUUCCCUGUUUUGGGUUCUGACUUGGCUUGUGUCCCUGCAGGGAUUGAGUUUGUAGCUGCCCAGCUCAAGUCCAUGGUGCUGACCUUGGGCCUGAUUGACAUGCGCCUGACAGUGGAGCAGGCCGUGCUGCUGUCACGCCUGGAGGAGGAGUACCAGAAAUCAAAAUCAAGGACCAGCAGAAGUAUUGUCAAGUAGGCCUGGCAUGGUGGUUCACACCUGUAAUCCCAGCACUUUGGGUGGCUGAGGAGGAUGGAUCAUUCGAGGUCAGGAGUUUGAGACCAGCCUGGGCAACAUGGCAAAACCCUCUCUCUACAAAAAUACAAAAAUUAGCACCUGUAGUCUCAGCUACUUGGGAAGCUGACGUGGGAGGAUUGCUUGAACCUGGGAGGUGGAGGUUGCAGUGAGCCAAGAUUGUGCCACUGCAUUCUAGCCUGGGUGACAGAGUGAGACCCUGUCUCA